ensembl:lncRNA
GUUGAUCUGGAAGCCACCACGGUCCACGCAGUAAUCUGCUGCGUGGGCGUGUGAGUGGCUUCCAGAGCCAUCUUUCGGUCUUGGUCAGGAUUUGUUACAGUUGCCCUUCAAUGUAGCAGGCUACGGGUUUCUGAAGAAGCCUGCUUUACGUAGCAUUGGAGUACAAAUAUUGUGCAAAAUGCUCAUGUAAUUGCACUAGCACUGGUAACCUGUAGAUUAGCUUAGUUUAACGUCAUUCGGUGCUGUCUGUCAAAUGUGUGGCUUACUUUAAGUCCACAAGGCCCUCUGGUAAACCACGUUGGAACACCCCUGGACAAGGUGAUUAGUCACUGGGUGUGUGCUAAAGUUUUGUUCCAUUUUUCACUAGUUGGUUAAGGUUUGGUAGAAUUGUUUGGAUGCUAGCGACGUGAUGGCGUAUGUACAAGAGCCUACCGUGGCCAGGCCACAGUUGCGACGGCCAUGGCCAGAUGGCCUAGUGUGAGUGCAACCUUGAUUGCAUUUGUAUACUGUUUACCAUUGGAUGUUUAUGCAAUUUGGCUUAAUUCAUCCGCUGUAAAGCUGCAGUUGACUAGUUUGUGGGAAGUUUUUUUUUUUUUUACCCUUGCUUACAAUCCAACGGUUGCGACCACUUAUGCAACUGGGCUGUGAACCUUGCAAUUCUAGUUGCAUAUUUGUACACGCAAGCUUGUCCAUUUCUAUCGCCAUCACUAACACUAGCUUCAGCAUUUCCUUGUAGGCCAUUAGCUGACUUGUGUAUUGGAGCGAUGAUUUGGGUAUUUUAAGAUGCUUGAAAACCUAAAAUUAAGCAAAAUGCGUGUCUGGUGUGCAAGAGCCAAUUUGUUGGCUUGCAGUAGUCGAGGAGUUGCCGUAGGUCGUAAGCCAUCUGGAGGUUGUGGCAAUGGAGGCUUGUGGUAGAUCUGCCAUCCAAGAGAGGUUAAUUCUUCUGAAGCAUGAUUAAUAGUUUAGUAAAUUGAAUCUAUUCAUAUAGAACUAUAAAAUUCAAGACUGCAGCCAGUAACUUGGAUCGCAAUAUGUGGAAAGUAUUAGUCUUUAUUUGUAACAACAGAAUAAUUAACAUGACUAACUGGGUUUCUUCCAUUUUCUAACUAGGGGGACUUGACUGGUGAGUCUACUGGAUUAAUCAGUAGCGGUACUUUGCCCAACAGAUUUGAUGGCAUGACUACAGGUUGGUGGUUCAACACUGAUGUCUCUCUAGGCUUGAGGGAGAGCUCACAAGUAAAUUAAACGAAUGUCCUGGAGCAAUUGGGAAUACACUUUUAUUUAGUCCACAUGACCAGGGACAUCUUUGAACUAUAGGUCACCUAACCCAAACUUUUCACUCUUGUUAGGUUGUCCUUUUCUCUUGUUUUAACCCGAAAGGGCUGAAAAUAUCAACAUUUCAGGUAUUCUGUUUGGAUAAUGUGCAAAACUUGUGGCUUCACUAAUAAAAAAAAUUAACGAAUGUAUUUUUCUUAAUGUGGUUAAACUAUUUAAAUAUUUGUAUGCAAAAUAUUUCUGCUCAUAUUUCUGCUCAAUUUAUGGUCAAUGAAACUCAAAUUUUUUAAUUUGAUAUAACACAACUAUGGGUUAAAGGUAUUUGCGUUGGGCAUCUUUUGAUAUUUUUAGAAUCUAGCUCCAUUGCCGUUAGAAAUG